AUUCCAGCUCCAAGAGCGUAUAUUAAAGUUGUUGCAGUUAAAAAGCUCGUAGUUGGAUUUCUGUCAUAAUGCGAUUGGUCCGUUUCCUUUAGGCGAUGAGUACCGAUCUGCGUUUGACAUCCUUCUAGAAAACGUUUCUACCAUUUAUUUGGCCGGACUCGGGAUCUAGAUCUUUUACUUUGAAAAAAUUUGAGUGUUUAAAGCAGGCUUUUUGCUAUGAAAACAUUAGCAUGGAAUAAUAACAUAGGACUUUGGUUCUAUUUUGUUGGUUGGAGGCCAAGGUAAUGAUUAAUAGGGAUAGUUGGGGGUAUUCAUAUUUAAUUGUCAGAGGUGAAAUUCUUGGAUUUAUGAAAGAUGAACUAAUGCGAAAGCAUUUACCAAGGAUGUUUUCAUCA
rnacentral:rRNA from 1 species